rnacentral:rRNA from 1 species
GAUGAACGCUGGCGGCGUGCCUAAUACAUGCAAGUCGAGCGAACAGAUGAGGAGCUUGCUCCUCUGACGUUGGCGGCGGACGGGUGAGUAACACGUGGAUAACCUACCUAUAAGACUGGGAUAACUUCGGGAAACCGGAGCUAAUACCGGAUAAUAUAUUGAACCGCAUGGUUCAAUAGUGAAAGACGGUUUUGCUGUCACUUAUAGAUGGAUCCGCGCCGCAUUAGCUAGUUGGUAAGGUAACGGCUUACCAAGGUAACGAUGCGUAGCCGACCUGAGAGGGUGAUCGGCCACACUGGAACUGAGACACGGUCCAGACUCCUACGGGAGGCAGCAGUAGGGAAUCUUCCGCAAUGGGCGAAAGCCUGACGGAGCAACGCCGCGUGAGUGAUGAAGGUCUUCGGAUCGUAAAACUCUGUUAUUAGGGAAGAACAAAUGUGUAAGUAACUAUGCACGUCUUGACGGUACCUAAUCAGAAAGCCACGGCUAACUACGUG